UUUUUUCUGAGACAGGGUUUCUCUGUGUAGCCCUGGCUGUCCUGGAACUCACUCUGUAGACCAGGCUGGCCUCAAACUCAGAAAUCCGCCUGCCUCUGCCUCCCAGAGUGCUGGGAUUACAGGCAUGCGCCGCCGCCACCACCACCUGGCUCUACACAGCCUUUAUUACAGUGCACAAAACAUCAAUCCAAGAGUAAGGGAGGGAGUGUGCUUGUGUGCUAAGGUGCUAAUGUGGAGGUGAGGGGACAGCCUUCUGGAGCUAAUGUGGAGGUGAGGGGACAGCCUUCUGGAGCUAAUGUGGAGGUGAGGGACAGCCUUCUAGAGCUAAUGUGGAGGUGAGGGACAGCCUUCUUGAGCUAAUGUGGAGGUGAGGGACAGCCUUCUUGAGCUAAUGUGGAGGUGAGGGACAGCCUUCUAGAGCUAAUGUGGAGGUGAGGGGACAGCCUUCUGGAGCUAAUGUGGAGGUGAGGGACAGCCUUCUGAGGCUGGCUCUCCCCCACCUUGCUGAAGCAGGGUCUUUUCCUGUUAAUGUUGCAGGCCAGCUUUGCCCAUGAGCUUCUGGUUGGCUCUGCCUCCUAGCUUGUUGUUAGCAUGUUGGCGCUACAGAUCUCCACCACCAUAGGCAGUUUUAUUUGUUUGUUGUUUGUUUUGAAAAAUAUACGGGUCCUAGGAUUAUCAGGCUUGGGCAGCUAUCUUGCUGGCCAAGUUCCUUAUAUUUGUUACUUAAAGAUAACCACAGGGAAUUUCAUAUUUGGACACAUUUUAGAUUUGGGAUUUUUGGCUUAGGGAUGCUUGAUCUCUGUAACUAAUGUAUAAGUUUCAAAAUGUGAAAAAAAAUUGAACCUCAAAUACAUCAGGUCCCAAGCACCUCAGAGAAGGGAUCCUUGGCCUUGCCUUAUUGGAUUGACUGUUAAUUAACUGAUGUUGGGACUUGAGGGGUUACAGUUUGCCAGUAGGUGGUAUGUAAUUACCGACAUAAUUUCAGUGAUCAGAGUCUGUGAGCUGUGCUCCCAGUGAAGGACUAUAGAUAAAGCAUCUACUGUUAUUUUUAGAAAGACUUAUUGAUAUCCAACCAUCUUUAUAGUUAGGCAGUGGUGGCUAUGGGUAUUCUGUAGCCACUGGUGACUUGGAGCCAAACCUCAUUUGUGAAAAAGAAAGCCAAAUUCUUCCUCUGCAUCCCAUAUUCAACUUGAAUUGGAAAGGUUGAGUUCAGUCUGGGCUCCUCAUUGUUGACAUCAUGGGAGGAAUAUGGGUUGUGAAUCAGAGAGGAACCAAGCCUUGAUUGGUGGAACUUUAUUGACCCAAGCUUUGAAGGUACAGAUGAGAGCUUACAAGGACAUUAGGAGAAGUGGGGCUCACUUACAAAUUGUCUGGUCUUGAGAAAGUCCCAUGUUUAUAUCUUGUACAGAUGUCAGCGUUUGCUUAGCCACACCAGGUUGGUUGAUAGGCAUAGAGUGGAGCCAAAGAGCCCAUCUGGAGAUAAUUCUGUUUGCCUUGUGCACAUCAAAAGUGGAGGGUUUUUUUGGUGAUAGUAAAAAAUAUUCAGAAGCAUGUACUGAUUUGAACUGUAUGACAAGAUUGAAGGCAGUGAUUGUACAAACAGUAGGAGAGGAUUUGACUCAUAACUUGUGUUAGUUAUCAUUCAGUUGAUUCAGAAAUAACUGUAUUCAUUGACAUCAUUUUGACAUGGCCCCUUUGAACAAGAUGCAUUUCACCAACAAGGUGGCUGUGGGGAUG